UACGGAGGGGGCUAGCGUUGUUCGGAAUUACUGGGCGUAAAGCGCACGUAGGCGGCUUUGUAAGUUAGAGGUGAAAGCCCGGGGCUCAACUCCGGAAUUGCCUUUAAGACUGCAUCGCUAGAAUUGUGGAGAGGUAAGUGGAAUUCCGAGUGUAGAGGUGAAAUUCGUAGAUAUUCGGAAGAACACCAGUGGCGAAGGCGACUUACUGGCCCGAUACUGACGCUGAGGCACGAAAGCGUGGGGAGCAAACAGGG
rnacentral:rRNA from 1 species